rnacentral:rRNA from 1 species
UACGUAGGGUGCGAGCGUUGUCCGGAAUUACUGGGCGUAAAGAGCUCGUAGGUGGUUUGUCGCGUUGUUCGUGAAAACUCACAACUCAAUUGUGGGCGUGCGGGCGAUACGGGGCAGACUGGAGUACUGCAGGGGAGACUGGAAUUCCUGGUGUAGCGGUGGAAUGCGCAGAGUAUCAGGAGGAACACCGGUGGCGAAGGCGGGUCUCUGGGCAGUGAACUGACGCUGAGGAGCGAAAGCGUGGGGAGCGAACAGGA